AGGUGUUUAAUUUAAUAAAAAUACUUGAUUUCGGCUCAAAAAACUGUGGUUAAAAUCCGCAAUCACCAA
rnacentral:tRNA from 1 species